rnacentral:rRNA from 1 species
GAUGAACGCUAGCUACAGGCUUAACACAUGCAAGUCGAGGGGAAACGACAUUGGAAGCUUGCUUCCUUUGGGCGUCGACCGGCGCACGGGUGAGUAACGCGUAUCCAACCUUCCCGCAAGUAAGGGAUAACCCGUAGAAAUGCGGCCUAAUACCUUAUGUUUUCCUUAGAGGGCAUCUGAUGAGGAACAAAGAUCCGUCGCUUGCGGAUGGGGGAUGCGUCUGAUUAGUUAGUCGGCGGGGUAACGGCCCACCGAGACGACGAUCAGUAGGGGUUCUGAGAGGAAAGUCCCCCACAUUGGAACUGAGACACGGUCCAAACUCCUACGGGAGGCAGCAGUGAGGAAUAUUGGUCAAUGGGCGGAAGCCUGAACCAGCCAAGUAGCGUGCAGGACGACGGCCCUAUGGGUUGUAAACUGCUUUUAUGCGGGGAUAAAGUGGGCCACGUGUGGCCUUUUGCAGGUACCGCAUGAAUAAGGACCGGCUAAUUCCGUG